rnacentral:misc_RNA from 1 species
GAUGAAGAACGUAGCGAAAUGCGAUAAGUAAUGUGAAUUGCAGAAUUCAGUGAACCAUCGAAUCUUUGAACGCACAUCGCGCCCGGCAGUAAUCUGCCGGGCAUGCCUGUCCGAGCGUCAUUUCUCCCCUCGAGCGCAGCUUUCCCCCCCGGGGGAGGGCCGCGCCCGGUGUUGGGGCGCUACGGAGGAGCCCAGCGCUCCCCCGUAGGCCCCGAAAUGUAGUGGCGGUCCCGCCGCGGCGCCCCCUGCGUAGUAGUUUUACAACUCGCAUCGGGUCCCGGCGGAGGCCAGCCGUCAAACCCCCCAACUUCAAUAGUUUGACCUCGGAUCAGGUAGGGUUACCCGCUGAACUUAAGCAUAUCAAUAAGCGGAGGA